rnacentral:rRNA from 1 species
AGUUACUGUAGGGAUAACAGCGUAAUUUUUUCGGAGAGUUCUUAUCGGCGAAGAAGUUUCGAACCUCGAUGUUGAAUUAAAGAGUCAGUAGGGCGGAGAAGAUUCUAUAUGAAGGUCUGUUCGACCUUUAAAUCUUUACGAGAUUUGAGUUCAGACCGGCGAGACGCCAGGUCGGCUUCUAUCUUUAGUACGAAAGGACCAAACAUUAUAAAUUUUGUUAUUUUAUUUAUUUUUAUUUUAUGCUA